rnacentral:rRNA from 1 species
GGUCCUUGAUGUGUAGGAUAGGUGGGAGGCUUUGAAGCGUGGACGCCAGUCUGCGUGGAGCCAACCUUGAAAUACCACCCUUUAAUGGCUGGUGUUCUAACGUAGACCCGUUACCCGGGUUGCGGACAGUGUCUGGUGGGUAGUUUGACUGGGGCGGUCUCCUCCCAAAGAGUAACGGAGGAGCACGAAGGUUGGCUAAUCCUGGUCGGACAUCAGGAGGUUAGU